CGCGGAAGAUGUAACGGGGCUAAGCUAUACACCGAAGCUGCGGCUACGUACCUUAGGGUAUGUGGGGUAGGGGAGCGUUCUGUAAGCCGUUGAAGGUGGUCUGUAAGGGCUGCUGGAGGUAUCAGAAGUGCGAAUGCUGACAUGAGUAACGAUAAAGGGAGUGAAAAACUCCCUCGCCGGAAGACCAAGGGUUCCUGUCCAACGUUAA
rnacentral:rRNA from 2 species